rnacentral:lncRNA from 1 species
CCCUUUGCCUUUUCCUCAAGCUCCUCCUCCAAUUGCUUUAGAUGUUCCUCGGUAAAUGGAAAAGCAUCUGCCCCGUAACUUGUCAAGUGCAUCCGAGCUUCCUUGGUAAUGGUCCGGCCACUUGGGCCAAUCGCUACAGCUGCAGGAAUGCCUUGAAUUUUGAAUUUCCGACUCAGGAUUUGUUUCCUUUCGUCACCAAAUGGAAGGGCUAACCAAGGCAUUUCUGAAUAGAACUCGUCAAAGGUGGAUUGAUCGCUGUCACUUGAGAUGAAGAUCACCUCAAAUGCAUUGUCUUUUGCUUUAAUUGUGUGGUAUGCUUCAAUUAGCUUGGGUAAAAAGGCACGACAAGGAGGGCACCAUUGAGCUGAGAAGUAAAGAAGAAUGUUCUUUCCAACUAGAUCAGACACUCGGACCUAAUCAAAGAGCAAACCAUUUGAAUGAUAAAAAUACCUUUGCUAAUGAAUUCAAUUCGAGAUAAUAAGCAAGUUAUUGAAAGUAAUGCAAUAACAACAUGCGAUGUUAGCACAGAACAAAAAAUUACCUUGGAUCCACUUUUGUCAAUCACAAAAUCAUUUUCCCCAUUAACCAAAACUGACUCAAGCGUCUGCGAUUCCAGUUUUGCCUUUUCAAUUUCAGCUAGCUCCUCAAGCUUUUCCGGUGUAAAUGGGUAGGCUUCAAUUCCAUGGUCUUCGAUGAGUUCAGCUACAUUUGGGUUCAAAGUCUUCCCAUCUUGGCCAAUUAUGACAAGAUUAGGAAUGGUUCUAAGUUCAAAAUACCGCGCUAGCUUCUCGCAGCUCUUGUCCUUAAACGGCAAUGCCAACCAAGGCAUUGUCUCAAAACUCUCUUUGAAUUAGGACUACUUCAAGUUCUCUCCUUUUUCCUUGAGCCUCUUGUACAAUUCCACUAGUUUAGGAGUGAAUUCACGGCACAAUCCUAUGAGCAUGGAUUGAGAAAUACAAGCCAACCAAUUUUCCUUCAAGGUCCAACACAGGGAUCUGCCAUUACAGAUAGCAAAAAUGUAAAUUAUGGCAUCAUCAUUAAAAAUAGCAAAAAAGUGAAUGAUGGCAUCAUCAAUUCAAUUUCAAAACUAGCUAAUUGAAUGAGCCAUCUACCUUUUUUCCAUCAUUUGAAAUCACAUAAUCACGUGAGCUUGAAACCAAGAUAGAGCUUAUGGUUUGAUUCUUCUUAGCAUUCUCUUCUUGCUCUUUCAGGAAAUUCAGUCUAUCAAGGUUGAACGGAUACCCAUCCACGCCAUGUUCCUUGACAGUGCUGACUCCAUUAUCGCAGGAAACCUUGCCAUUCGUAUCAAAAAUGACAAGAUUAGGGAUCCCUCUUACUUUGAACACUUCCUUAAGACGUUUGCGGGUCUCCGUAUCAGAGAAGGGAAUAGCAAGCCAUGGCAUUUCGGAGAAGUAUGUGUUGAAGGAUUCAUCGUCUCUGUCAGAAGAAAUGAAGACCACCUCAAAGUCCCCUUUGGAUGAUAGCUGUUCAUAGACUUCUACCAACAACGGAGUGAAAUUACGGCACGGCCCGCACCACGAACCAGAGAAGUAGAAUCCCACAAUCUUCCCAACCAAAUUGCUGACCUUAACCUAAAAAUUAACGUGGAACAUUAUCAGAAAAAAGUUUCAGCCCUUAACGAAUCAAAAUCUUAUUUGUGGUUUCUUUCUCUUGCCAGUGAGAGAAGCAACAAAAAAAAGAGCUUUUUCUUAAUCAUAAAAGCUUCAGAAAUUGGUCAUAAAUUUGUUCUUCAGCAAGGCUUGCAGUCUAAUUUAAACAUGAUAUUCAUCUUAAUUACUAGAAAAACCUACAAGUUCAUAUAAAAAAAGACGUCAACUUAUAAUAAGACAAGAAGAAGUAGAAUUGAAUAAGAUCAGAGAAACUCAUAUGCUAAAAGCAGUACCUGAUCACCAUUGUUGCGGAUGAGAAAGUCCCUCUCUUCUGAAGAAAGAAGCUUUGAAAGGUCGAGAGAAACGUCUUCGGUGGCCAUAGCUAGCUAUGUGAUGAACUACUCAAAAGGCUAGAACAAUUGCCAAUCCCAGUUGCUGUGUAAUGGAACUUCCAGGCUAAGGCUCCUUUAAAGUACCUGCUCGCCCGGCCUAGGAAAUUAUUAUUCUAAUUGUCAACGACGACUACAAGGCUUGGCUGGUGUCGAGUGAUGACGAAGACAUUAUGACGUAGGUCCGCGGAAGCGGUAUUCGCAUUAUUACGUGCUUCUAUAAAUCUCCUAUUGCUUCAUUUUUUUUUUAACAUGUUUUUUUUAAUCUCCUUUUUUUGUUUGUAUUCUAGUUUUUUAAAAAUUAUGAGUUUGUUAUUAAAUAUAUUUUUUGUUUUUAUCUCUUUAAUAAAAUCUUUAUUAAAUGUGACUUGAUGAUAACAACAUGUAAUUUAAUAAAUUGGUUAAGAUCCAAACUUAAUAGAUUCCUUCUUAUCCUUCUGAUAAAGUUUUUUAAUAGUGAAACUCUCAACUCCUUUUGAUUUAAAAAAUAAUGAUGUUACGUGUAUUUAAUAAUUAUAAAUCAAAUUAUAUUAUGUAUUUGAGCCACGUCAUGACUCUAUUUCAAUAAAAAAAAUCCUUAUAUUUUUAGGAGAGAAAGAAAGAGUUUUUAAAUACAAUAUUUUAUCAUAAUUUUGACCUUUCCCUACUCAAAAGUGCACUAUACAUAUAUAUCAUUAUCUUUUAUCGAACACUCCAAAUGUAUUUAAAUUUGUCAAUUAAUUGUAAAUAAGGGAAGUUAAUGAAUUUCCACUCUAAAAUGUUCAAAUUCAUUGUUUGCUUUCAACUUUGUUCUAAUUAAAUCAGGUUAAGUAUAUGACUUUUUUCAUUAGUGGGUAUCCACUAGAUAUUCUAUUUGAUCUAUUUUUUUAAUUAAUUUUAUAAAAAUAAAACCUAAACUAAAAAAAUAAAAUAAUUCCUCCUUCAUGAAUCAUAAAACUAUGAAAUUAAAUUAAAUAAAAAAAUAAGAGAUGUUGUUAGUUUAGUGUUGUUGCAAAGUGGACAAAAACUCAAAAUAUCAAGGAUAAGAAUAAUAUUAUAGUUUUAUUUUUAAAAUUUUUUUUCAAUAUAAUCACUAAAUAUUUUUUUUAAUUUCAUCUUUGAUAUUUUAUUAAUCAAGAAUUUGGACUUAUUGGUUGGUUUUCUAUAAUCUUUUAUGUGGGGGAAAUUAAAUGUCUCUACAUUAGGGUCAUGUUUGAUUUUACAAAAUAAAAUCCUAUUUUAUUGCAUAUAAAAAUUUAAGACUUGGGGCCAAAAUUGACCGUUAGCAACAAUUUCAAGAUUCUUUAUUUGAGAAAUGUUCAUUUCUCCAUAUUUUACUUUAAAAAUUUUAUAUUUUAAUCCAAAACUCUAUUUUGAUCACAUUUCAGUCUCUAGCUUUAAACAAAAGAUAAAAAUUCAUUGAAAAUAAUGAAAGAGAGAGAAACACAUAGAGUGACAAAGUUUUGUUAGUAAAAAUAACUAAAAUUUGUGUCAAUGUGUUCUUCUUGAUAAGAAGAGUGCUACUAUGGUGUUUUUGACUUUUUAUAUAUAAAAAAAAAACAGAUCGAGAUUUGGAGAGUUUUUUUUUAAGGUUAAACUUUGUGUUUUAAAAUUAUUUUAGGGUUUUUUUAGUUGAUGGAUUAGUUUAUAGACAAUCUAAAAGUGUCUAUUAGAUAUUUUUAGAUAAAAAUAUAUUAAAAAAUAAAUUUUAAAAUAAAAAACAAUCCAAUUCUUCAUCCACCUUUCCAAUGAUAGGAAAAUUAAGCAAGUAAAAUGAUGUGUCAUUUACUUUAUUUAAAGAAAAAACAAUAAAGGAUAGAUGUUAUGUCAUCCAUCAAAGAAAACAUAAAAAUAUAAAAUGGCUCUUCCAUCUUUUGAAUAAUUGAGCCAUUUGGCCCCACAAACAUGGCUUGUUUUGGGCCAUUAUUUUUAAAUUUUUGGAUCUUUAUCCUUGAGUUUUAAUUUUAUUUCAUUAAAAUUAAUUAUUUAAGAACACAUUAAGGAUGUUAUUUUAAUAAAUACUUAAAUUAUUAAAAAUAUACAUGAGAUAUUAUUUUAUUAGAUACCAUUUAAUUUUUACUUUGUUUUUAAAUAAAAUUAUAAUAUUUUUUUUAUAAUAUUAGUAAGGGUUUUUUUGGCAUAACCCAUCAUGAUCUUUCUUAUCUUUGCACAUACGCUGUCAAAGACUAUAAUAAUAGAUUCCAUGAAAAAGAAACUGCGAGAACAUGAAACAUGCAUUUGAACAUGAAAAGGUAAAUAAGCUGAACAUAAUUAAUGGGCCAUAGAAGCGAAGGUUUUUUCAAUGGCUUCAAACUUCUUGGCAGCGUGCUUCAUUGUUGUCGCCGAAUUUCUUCGCAGUGUGCUUGCUUGAAACGUGGAUGUAUCACAUGGAUGAUAUUUUCGUUCUUUGGACAGGAGUGAUAAGCAUUUUCCUUUAGGAAUGACAAAAACCUCAUAACAAGUGAUUGAAAUUUGAGAACAACCAUCAACCAUGGAUUCCCAGGUUUCAAAUGGGUCACAGGAUUCACAUAAACACAGCCAAUCCGGUUAUUUAUGUUUGGUAUCGAAAUACAAGACAUGAAAAUCCUUCAGCAACACGCCUCUUAAUUAGAUAUCAAUAGCAGGAAAGACAUCCACUAUCUUCACACACAUGCCACAAACACCUUACAUCGCAAACUUAUUACGGCAGAAACCCCAUAAAACCAGAUACCAGGUGCGCUUGCCCGCUUAAGCUCUGCGGCACACAUCACCAUCGCAGAUCCUUCCUUCCUUUCCCUUUUCAGUUCCAGUAUCUUCAUCUUCCUUCAAAGCACACUUAGGGUGAAGAUCAAAGUCACAUUGUUUGCAAUAGAAAGACCAACCAUGUCCUGUUCCACGACAGCCAUUGCAAACAUAUGCUUUGCGUUUAGUACGAAUCAGCUCAUGCUCAGUAUGAAGUUCGUGUUUCACUUUCUCUGGCCACCCCUUUGCCUUUUCCUCAAGCUCCUCCUCCAAUUGCUUUAGAUGUUCCUCGGUAAAUGGAAAAGCAUCUGCCCCGUAAGCUGUCAAGUGCAUCCGAGCUUCCUUGGUAAUGGUCCGGCCACUUGGGCCAAUCGCUACAGCUGCAGGAAUGCCUUGAAUUUUGAAUUUCCGACUCAGGAUUUGUUUCCUUUCAUCACCAAAUGGAAGGGCUAACCAAGGCAUUUCUGAAUAGAACUCGUCAAAGGUGGAUUGAUCGCUGUCACUUGAGAUGAAGAUCACCUCAAAUGCAUUGUCUUUUGCUUUAAUUGUGUGGUAUGCUUCAAUUAGCUUGGGUAAAAAGGCACGACAAGGAGGGCACCAUUGAGCUGAGAAGUAAAGAAGAAUGUUCUUUCCAACUAGAUCAGACACUCGGACCUAAUCAAAGAGCAAACCAUUUGAAUGAUAAAAAUACCUUUGCUAAUGAAUUCAAUUCGAGAUAAUAAGCAAGUUAUUGAAAGUAAUGCAAUAACAACAUGCGAUGUUAGCACAGAACAAAAAAUUACCUUGGAUCCACUUUUGUCAAUCACAAAAUCAUUUUCCCCAUUAACCAAAACUGACUCAAGCGUCUGCGAUUCCAGUUUUGCCUUUUCAAUUUCAGCUAGCUCCUCAAGCUUUUCCGGUGUAAAUGGGUAGGCUUCAAUUCCAUGGUCUUCGAUGAGUUCAGCUACAUUUGGGUUCAAAGUCUUCCCAUCUUGGCCAAUUAUGACAAGAUUAGGAAUGGUUCUAAGUUCAAAAUACCGCGCUAGCUUCUCGCAGCUCUUGUCCUUAAACGGCAAUGCAAACCAAGGCAUUGUCUCAAAACUCUCUUUGAAGUGUUUUUCCUCAGAGUCUAGAGAUAUUAGGACUACUUCAAAGUUCUCUCCUUUUUCCUUGAGCCUCUUGUACAAUUCCACUAGUUUAGGAGUGAAUUCACGGCACAUCCUAUGAGCAUGGAUUGAGAAAUACAAGCCAACCAAUUUUCCUUCAAGGUCCAACACAGGGAUCUGCCAUUACAGAUAGCAAAAAUGUAAAUUAUGGCAUCAUCAUUAAAAAUAGCAAAAAAGUGAAUGAUGGCAUCAUCAAUUCAAUUUCAAAACUAGCUAAUUGAAUGAGCCAUCUACCUUUUUUCCAUCAUUUGAAAUCACAUAAUCACGUGAGCUUGAAACCAAGAUAGAGCUUAUGGUUUGAUUCUUCUUAGCAUUCUCUUCUUGCUCUUUCAGGAAAUUCAGUCUAUCAAGGUUGAACGGAUACCCAUCCACGCCAUGUUCCUUGACAGUGCUGACUCCAUCAUCGCAGGAAACCUUGCCAUUCGUAUCAAAAAUGACAAGAUUAGGGAUCCCUCUUACUUUGAACACUUCCUUAAGACGUUUGCGGGUCUCCGUAUCAGAGAAGGGAAUAGCAAGCCAUGGCAUUUCGGAGAAGUACGUGUUGAAGGAUUCAUCAUCUCUGUCAGAAGAAAUGAAGACCACCUCAAAGUCCCCUUUGGAUGAUAGCUGUUCAUAGACUUCUACCAACAACGGAGUGAAAUUACGGCACGGCCCGCACCACGAACCAGAGAAGUAGAAUCCCACAAUCUUCCCAACCAAAUUGCUGACCUUAACCUAAAAAUUAAUUUCGAAAAUUAUCAGAAAAAAAAUCAGCCCUUAACGAAUCAAAAUCUUAUUCAUGGUUUCUUUCUCUUGCCAGUGAGAGAUGCAACAAAAAAAAAGAGCUUUUUCUUAAUCAUAAAAGCUUCAGAAAUUGGUCAUAAAUUUGUUCUUCAGCAAGGCUUUGCAGUCUAAUUUAAACAUGAUAUGCAUCUUAAUUACUAGAAAAACCUACAAGUUCAUAUAAAAAAAGACGUCAACUUAUAAUAAGACAAGAAGAAGUAGAAUUGAAUAAGAUCAGAGAAACUCAUAUGCUAAAAGCAGUACCUGAUCACCAUUGUUGCGGAUGAGAAAGUCCCUCUCUUCUGAAGAAAGAAGCUUUGAAAGGUCGAGAGAAACGUCUUCGGUGGCCAUAGCUAGCUAUGUGAUGAACUACUCAAAAGGCUAGAACAAUUGCCAAUCCCAGUUGCUGUGUAAUGGAACUUCCAGGCUAAGGCUCCUUUAAAGUACCUGCUCGCCCGGCCUAGGAAAUUAUUAUUCUAAUUAGUCAACGACAACUUCAAGGCUUGGUGUCGGGUGAUGACGAAGACCUUAUGACGUAGGUCCGCUGAAGUGGUAAUUCGCAUUAUUACGUGCUUCUAGAAAUCUCCUCUUGCUUUUUUAGCUUUUAUUUUGAAUAACGCAGACAUGCUGAGUCACUUGGCCCAACAAACAUGCCUUGUUUUUAGCCUCUUUUUUUUUUUUUCUUUAUCUUUAUCCUUAAGUUUUAAUUUAAUUUCCUUAAAAUUAAUUAUUUAAAAACAUAUUAAGGAUGUUAUUUUAGUAAAUACUUAAAUUAUUAAAAUUAUAUAUGAAAUAUUAUUUUAUUAAAUAUCAUUUAAUCUUUAAUUUAUUUUCAAAUAAAAUUAUAAUAUCAUUCUUAUAAUAUUAGUAUGAAUUGUUUUUCACAACCCAUCAUGAUUUUUUUUUAUCUGUACAUAUACGUUGUCAAAAAAUAUAAUAAUAGAUUCUAAAAAACAAUUAAGGAUACUAUUGAACUAUAAAAUGAUAAUUGAUUAAGAGCAUAUUAAAAAAUGUGAUAGAAAUUGUAUUUUAAAAUAGUUUUUAUUGGAAAUAUAUUAAAAAAUAUUUUUUUUAAUUUUAAAAAAUUUAUUUUUGAUAUCAAUAUAUUAAAACAAUCUAAAAUACUUUAAAAAUAUAUUAUUUUUUUAAAAUUUAAGCAAAUAGUAUUUUAAGCAGUACUAAACACCCCAUUUUACUAUAAACAAAAUCAUCAUAUUUUUAAUCUAUUUAUCACAUCAUGAAACAUCAUGAUGAUUAAUUAGCAAACACAACACCACCGUGUAGAAACCAUGUGUGACACUUCAAAUUCAUCGUAACAAAUUGAUCAAAUUAUAAAAUAAUCCUUAUACUUCUAAGAAAUUAGUAGCUCACUCCCUUUAUUUAAAAGAAGCCAUAUUUUACCUCCAUGUUAUCAUUUCCAUUUACUAUAACUUAGUUCUUCCUUUAGUUUUACAUUGUAAAAGUGCUAAACCAUCAUUUUAGGUAUUAGUUAAAAAAAAGUAUCUAUUAACAGAUUGACGGUCAAAGCUUCUCAAUUGAGUAACUUUUUUGUUUUUAAAAAACAGAAGGACUAACAUGUUGGUCUAUUGAAAAUGUAAGGAUUCAAUUAUAAUUUAAUUCAAGAAACAAAUAUGAUGCUAUUGACAUGUCCACAAGUCCACUGGCACAAUUAUUGCUUAUAACCCAUCACCUAUCAAUAGUGAUGGGGGAGGGGGGGGCCAGAAGUGUCCUUCUCCCGUAGGGUAAAAGCCCAGCAGUGUCCUCCCCCAUCGUAGGGUGGUCCAAACACAAGAUGGCUAGAGAUACUAAGAACCUGUUUGGUAUUGCGGUAGCUAUUAUGGUUGUGAUUUUAAAAAAGUUAUUUUAUAAAAAUUAUUUUUAGUUAAGGUUGGUUUAAUAAAAUAGGUGUUUGGUUAAAAUUGUGGUUGAAAUUGAGGUUGAACAAAAAGUAGUUUAAUGUGUUUGGUUAAUAAUGCUUUUGAAAUUGAGGUUAUAAAAUAAUUUUAAAAAAUAUAUAUUAAUAUUGAUGUUUUUUAAUUUAAAUAUUGUAGAUUUAACUAUUAUUAUUACAUCAUGAAAUAAAUCAUACUUUAUAUAAAAUAUUUUUUAUUGAUUCAUUAAACCAUCUACAUUUCUAUCACGUACGAAAUACAUCCGACAAGAACUACAGUUUUCAUAAUUUUUUAGCGUGUAAUAAAAUUAGAUAAAAUAUUAUCAUGUAUAAAACUAGUUUUUUUUUAAAAAAAAUGUUAAAAAAAUUAACACACUAAAAAAAAAGUGUCCACACAGUGCAAGUGAACAAUGCAAGAGAAUUGCACUGUUCACUAUUUUUAAGUGAACAGUGCACUUUUCUUGCACUGUUCACAUGAACAGUGCAUCACUAUGCACUGUUCAUGUUAAUUGAACAGUGCAAUUAACAUGAAUAGUGCAAAAAAAGUAAGGAAUUCUUGCUUUUUAAAUACUGCGUUUCCAACACAAAAAAGAAAUAGGAUCCAGUAAACAGUAUAUCUUUUUUUUUUAAUCAAACAACUACAAUUACGUUUUAAAUAAAACGCAACCGCAGUCACUGUGAUAAAAAUUAUUAUUAUCACCAUUAUUACCAUCAUAAUAAACUAUUAUUUUUAUUUUUAUUGCUGUUAUUGUUACUCUUAUUAUUAUUAUCAAAAAAUUUAUCAUCAUCAAUAAUAUUAUCACACCUAUUAAUAUCAUCAUCAUAAAUAAUAUUGUUAUUUUCAUUAUUAUUUUUAUUACUACUACUAUCAUCACUAUUUUUAUAACUAACAUUACUAUUAUUAUUUUUAUUUUUAUCACCACCAUCACCACCACAAGUCCACAACCACCACCACCACCAUUAUUGAAAAAGAAAAAACCUUAAACUUGAUUUGAAUAGAAUUGAAAACUAUAAAUUUUUUUAUAAAAAGACUAGGAAAAACAAUAAGAAAUUAAAAGAAUAUGGACCAAAUUGAAAUCAUUAUUAUUAUCAUUGGCAAAAUAAAAAAUUAUAAACUUGAUUUGAAGAAUAAAACUGAAAGUAAUAAAAACUUUGAUAAAAAAACAAAGAAAAAAAAUUAAAAAUUAAAAGAAAAGAAGACCGAAUAUAUACAAAUUAAAAAUCAAGGGUUAAAUUGAAAAAAAAACUUUCCCAAAAGGAAAAAUGAUCAAAAUACCAAAAUCAAAACUAAAAGAACUGAAUUUGAAAUACCAAUAACAAUGAGGUCCAUAGUGCUUUUCGGGGGGCAGGAAAAAAAACAAAAGGAAAAAAAAAGGAUCACUAGCAAUAAACCAAAUAUAUUUUAACUACACAAGCCACCUAUUAUAAAAGAGGAGACAGUGAGACAUCAAAUUACACAGCAGAAGGACAAUUUUUAUCAUUGGGAGUCGCUGCAUGCACCGUCCAAAUUACACAACAGCUCCCAUGUGAUGGCUCGUGUUGUGCACGUAGCAACAACUUUUUUAAAAUAAAAAAAUAUUAUUUAAAUGUUAAAUUGCAUUACUAUCCUCAACCAAAUCAACAAUUAACAAAAAAAAAAACAAGAGUAAAAGACCCUAAUACCCUUGAUCCCAAUGAAUUAAUUUUUUUAGAUCCAAGGGUACAUGUGUAAUUUCACUAUGUAUUAAAAAUAAAAAAUACCUAUAUACUCCUAUAUGAAACUAUUGAUUUUUUUUACUCCUAGAGGUAUUUUUUUUAUUUUAUUUUUCAUUAAAUAUUAAAAAUAUAAAAAUGCCCUCAAACAAACCUCUAAUAAUUAAUAUUCUGUGUGAAAUUACCAAAAUACCUCUGAAUCAAAGGUAAAUAAUUUUUUUUAAGGCUAUAGACAUUAUUUCACUAUUGUAAUGGAUAGUAAUAUGACUCUAUAGCCAUAAUGAAUUUGCCUUUUUUUUAGUAUUUUUUUUAUAAUUAGUCAACUAUACUUCAAGACUUGGCUGGUGUCAGGUGAUGACAAAGAUAUAAUGAUGUAUAUUAGAUGCUUAUAUAAAUCUCUUGUUUUUUUAAAAAAAAUGAAAAACAUAUUCCAUUUUGUAAUCUUUUUUUUUUCCGUUUGUAUCAUAGUUUUUAAACCCGACCUGGUGGUCGACCCAGUAUAAUAAUUGGGUCACGGGUCAGAUGGGUUGACUCGGGUUAAUAAAAAAAAAAAUAAUUUCUUGCUUGCCCUUGGACUAAUAAUAAUAAUAAGCAUCAUUGAAAAAAAGAAAAGUUUCUAGAGAAUAACCCUGCUUGCCACUCAUGUUUGACCAGAUCCAAAACCAAACAUUGAUUGCCCUUAUAUAAUUAGCACAAUCACCCUCACAACACAGUACACACAAAUCCCUACCCCGCUCUUUACAAACCACCUUCCCGCCACCUCCACAGCCACCACAAGCCCACCAUCACCUUCUCAAUUUUGGGAUUCAAAGUUCCUUCUCAAAGGCGUAGAAGAGAUUACGAAAUACAAGAGCAAUGCCUACCUUCACAACCACAACUAUUAUGUCAUCUCAAAGCAGCAACCUUAGUCUCCACAAACUCAAGAUUAACCCAAAAACACAAUCAAACAUAGUCACAAUUGGUGGGUGAAUUUUUCAAACAACAGACUAAACCCUAACUCAAGCAGAUCUGAAAUCCCUCUUUUCCUAACUCUCCAAGCUGAAUCAACUUGUUCCCUAUUUCAUCAAUCGAGACCCUAAUUUAUUCUCUAUUCUCUUAUCCCUCUUGAGAACCGGAAAUCUCCCCUCAAAGACCAAGUUUUCUGUGAAGAGUCAAAGUUUUACAAGAUUGAAGAGAUUAGUUUUCUGUGAUUCUGUAUUUAUGUUACAAAUGAUUUGAAGCAAAAGAAUUAAUUUGAUUGCUGCAACUCUCAUCUUAAUUUAUUAGAGAAGAAAAAUCGAGCUAAAACCGUGAAGCCUAGUUUAAAUGAACGAACAAUUAACUUUUAUACGUGGGAUCUUGCACGUGAAGCCUAGGAAAGGGCAAUGGCCAAAUAGAGAGACCCUGUUUUUAGAGGGGAGGAAAAUAGAAUUUUUAAAUACAAUAACUAUCAUUUGGCAAUUAACGGUAUCUUCUGAGUUGUGACUUUUCCGCAAUCAAAAGCACAAUUGAUUUUUAUUAAGUUUUUUUAAAAAUUUCAACUCUCACCCGCACAAUAAUAUUUUUAAUAAUCAAUCCAUCUCAAAUUAUUAAAAAAAAUUAAAUACAAAAUAAAUUCUAAGUAAUUUUGAAAAAAUAACAAAAAAAUUCUAAAUAAAAUAAAAAAAAUAUCUUAAUUCAAUUAGGUAAGCAUAAUAGCUUAUGGUUUUUUUCGUAAUGCCUUCUCAAUAUCUAAUUGAUAUUAUAUUUUAACUUUAUAUGAAAUUUUUUACUCAAUUCAAUAAUCAAAUCAAAAGUUAUAUCUAUUAACAUAAAACUAUAUAUUAGAAAAACAAGCUCAAUUCACGUGUGAGUAGGAAAAAAAAUUGAAUCCAUAAGUCUUGUAAUAAAUAAGACCCAAAUAUCUUAAAUUAACCAUUAAAUGCCUUUUUAACCUUCUUAGCUCCUAACUCCUAACUUUUUAAUAGAUCCAAUUGGCACAUGUAUUAGAUCAUGUAGUAUUGCUUGAUAAGUCUCAACAACAAUUUUUCAAUUCAUCCAAAUUGAUAAGAAGAAAAAUAAAUGAAAUAUGGAAAACCACUCUCUAUAAAGAAAAUGACAAUAAAAUCUUCCAUCAAACUCUUAACCAUCUCAUUGCAAAAAACCCUCUCGUCGGUCGUCGAAACCACCAAAAUAUAAUUCUGACUUAAUUAUCACAAACAAAAUAAAUUUAUAGUAUGAUCGUGAAAACCAGGUCAAACUCAAGGAAAAUUUUGUUUAAUCUUCCUACAAUAUACUGAAAUGAGAAAGAAUGAGAGAUUUGGAUGAAAAAUUCAAGAAACAAUAAUUCUGAAAAUAAUAAAUUGAUGUCGUUAAAUCAGUUCAAGGAUCCACACAUUCAUUCCUAUAAAUCUGUUGAUCAUCGAAGUAAAAUAAAUAUUCUUUCGCAUCAAACAAAUAAACUCGAUAUCCCUUAAAGCUGAGGAAAAUCGAUGAGAUUAUAAGUUCAUUAAUUAGAAAAAGCUCUUUAAUUAAUUUCUUACCAUCAAAGGAAUGUAAUAUUGAAAGCAAUUUUCAUUUACUCGGUAGUAGUCUUAGAAAUAAAAUCUAUGCAUUUAUUCUAAGCAAACAUUCAAAAGAUUGACAAUUUUAACUUAGUUUAUUCUUCUCUAAUAAAUUAAGAUGAGAGUUACAGCAAUCAAAUUAAUUCUUUUGCUUCUUACUCUAGUUCCUAACAACAAUUACGGAUUGAAAAAAACUAGAAAGCAUACAUGCCAUCUCAAAACAAUUCAAUAAGCUUGAAUAACAAUCAAUAACAUAAUUCUGAACAAGAAAAAAUGAAUACUUGAAUAUGAUAGAAUUACAAUGAUAAUGUUACUUCUCACAACAUGUUAAUGGAGAUGGUGUGUAUCCCUCUUGAACCUAAUUCAGGAGUUUAGUUCAUAGUUGCUGAAAAAUUGACAAAAGCAGAGAAGAAAGGAAUGUUUUUCGACUCUUGUUUCAGCUGUGUUCUGCUUUCUUUAUCCUCCCCAUAUGCUACCGAAAUCUUCAGGAUUCUUAAACUAAUUAGGAGUCUUCAUGAUAUUAAAUUCGUUCCUUCUUUAUCUGGUCUUUAAGGUUGGAUAAAUCUCUCAGAAUUUAUCUUGAAAUCUGCUUCUGCUGUUAUCAUAAUUUUAUUGUAAUACCAACUCUGUUGUAAUUUAGACUUCGAUUCUGACUUGGUUUCUUGUAAUAUCCGACCAUUCCAACUAUAUUCUUUCAUUCAUGACAUGUUAAAGGCUUGAUCUGCACCUUUCUUGGGUCCUAAGACCCAUCUUUUUUAUGUCAGACUCUCAGCCUUAUUGGGAUACUCGGCACCAUUAGUUUCCAAAUCAGAUCAGGGGACCCAUUUUGACCAACCAGAUUGUGUCCAUAUUCUGUCCUUCAAAUCGAUUUUAUCUAACUUUAAGUCUUUCAUGAAAGUUGUAAUCCUGGAUGUGUAGAUGAAUUUUGGUUUUGAAUCACCUACUUUCGAUAUCAAAAACUCAAGAUAUUCCCGUUUGAAUCUCUAGUGUAAAAGCAGAGAAUCCUGCUGCGAGAAGAACUCUGGCCCGAGUUUGCAGGUCUGAUUCGAGGUCCAAAUGAGAUCGGAAUUUUGCCCAUAAUACUUUCCUGGAAAGCUUGACACGUGUACUUCAACUUAGAAUAGCCCACCUUCUCAUUUUAGAACUCUAACUUGACAAAAAACUUGUCACAAGAAGCUAGGUCUAAAACAUAAAAUGCAAAAUUUCUUAUGUUUUAACGAUUAAUUCACGAAGUCUCUUCUGCAUGUCAAACUCAUAAAAAUAACUUCCAAUCAACUCAAAUAAGUUCAAAAUACAUUAAAAAGCAUAGUGCAAAUGGAAUAAAAACUAUGUAUAUUUUGCACUUAUCAUCCUUACAAACAUAGCAUAAGCAGUUAUCUCAAAUUUCAUACCAUUAUUUUGUCAAUUUUUUGCACAAUCAAUAUCCCUGACAUGACUUGAUGUCAAACUUGUUGUUAAUGACUUAAUAGAUAACAAGACUAAGAAAUUUUGAUCUUUCAUCUUCAUAAUUUUGAAAAUAAAUCUAUUAAAAAGUUAUGUAUGUUAUGUUGACAAGUCAACAAAACAAUGCAUAACUACUGAGUUUUUCAAACUAAAACUCCAUAGAUAUAUACAUGUGAAAUCCCCGAUGCUAAAUGAAAUCAUAAAAGAAAGAUCUCAUAGAGUAAUUUCCAGGAACAUUUUUCAUGCAAUAAAUAAAGUAAGAGGUUGGUAUUUUUGUGUGUGUGUAUUUAGUCAUUUAAAAGUUAGAACAUAAUAAGAUUAAUAGACAAUGCAUUACAGUAAACUAGCAAUUGGUAAACUCAAAAGAUGCAAGACUUUCCACAAUGCCUCUGGUCUUCGAUUUCAGUAAAUAUCCAAGGCUACAAAACACAUUGAAUAUUAUUCUAAAAGAAAAUCUUGAUUUUAAGGAAAUGAGGAUAUGAUUUGGUAACAAUUACUUAAAAUGUUGAAAUUAACAAGUCAAAGCUCCAUACUCUUAAUUUUAGAAACCGUUUCAAUUUUUUUUUUGCUAAAAUUUAAUAUGUAUUAUAUGUUUUGAAUCGUUUUGAUGUACUGAUGUUAAAAAUAAUUUUUUAAAAAUGAAAAAACAUCAUUGGCAUGCAUUUCAGCAUAAAAAGUUAUUUGAAAAGCAACCGCAACCACACUGCAAAACAUACCCACCAAUGCAACUUUAACUAUCAUGCAUGAAGAAAUCUUAGGGCAAUUAGACUUGCGUUUAUUCAAAUCUACAUAUGAAAAAAAAAUCCCCAUUUCCUAAAACUCGCAAAGAUCUAGCACUUUGAUGCAUUAUUAUAAAUCCAAAUCGGCAAGCUUGCUAUAACAUUGCUUACAUGAUCGCCCAUGAAUUAUCACAGCAAUUAGCUCCCUAGUUUCCAAUAUUCGCAAUUAAUGAGUCAAUAUGGUUUUUUCCUUUGAAACAACUUGUCCACGUGAAUCACAUCUGCAUAAGAAAAGACAAUAUAAGCCAUAAAAAUUGAUCUAUACCAUAACCAGUCCUGAUAUUGACAAAGGAAAGUUAAAGGCUACAUUUGCAAGCUAUAUUCAUCAAACAUGUUACAACGUGUUGAAUUAGUAAGAUGUAAAUCCUUUAGCAAAGAAAACAAUAAGAUGGUUAAACAUGCGGGCUUGCCGAGCCACCUUUACCUGUUUUAAGUCUUUAUUUUUAUCUUUUGGAUAUUUUCCUUAAAUUUUAAUUAUAUUUCAUUAAAACUAAUCAUUUAAAAAUAUAUUAGCUUAAAUUAAUUAAGAAUAUAUUUGGGGUAUUAUUUUAUUAAAUAUCAUUCAAUUUUUACUUUUCUUUAUACAACCUAUCGUGAUUUUUUUUAAUUUAUUCCGACGAGUAAUUAUUUUUAUUAUGAUAUAAUUAAAUGAAAAAUAAGCUUAAAAAAUAGAUUUAUUAAACCAAGCUAGGUUUAAUAUGGGUUGAACCAAGUCAAUUCAAAAUAUUAUCAUCUUAAUAUUAGAAAAACAUCACCAAUAAAUUUCACAUAAUAACACGCAAAUAGUAUGUUGUUCUUAUGUUUUGUUUCAAUUGAAUUUAAAUUGUUUCUCUUCUUCUAAAAACAUUAUUGCCAUAUAAUCAAAUAAAAAAAACUAAAGAGUUAUUAAUGAUUUAAAAUAAGAUAUAUAUAUAUAUAUAUAUAUAUAUAUAUAUAUUUAUUAGCUUCCUAAAUUAUUUUUUAGUUAAUGUUAAUGAUUUUUUAACAUUUAUUUGCAUAUAAUUUUCAAUCAAUUUUACUAGAUAAAUAUAUGGAGUUCAUAAUAAUUAUUUUUAUUAGAAAAUUUAUUGAAAAUAUAUAAUGUUCUUUUUUAAAAUUAAAAAAAAUAAAAUUAAGUUGACAUGUGCCGGAGCGCAAGCCUCCUAGCCGCUACUCUUCACUGGGACCAUUGAGUGGUUGGUCUAGAUAAUAUCGAUGUCGUCGUUGUAGUUUCCUGAGUCACUGGCUCUUCAAGAAUAAAUUAUUAGCAUACAUAAUAUCGAUGUCGUCUUUGUAGUUUCCUCGACGCGUCACUGGCUCUUCAAGAAUAAUUAUUAGUAUAGAUAUUUUUAUGUUUUUAAAAUAUUUUAAAAAAAAAUUAUUUUUUUAUUUUAAAUUAAUUUAUUUUAGUGUUUAUAGAAUUGAUUUGAUGUGUUAAUAUUAAAAAUAAUUUUUUAAAAAUAAAAAAAUUGUUUUAUUAUAUUUACAAGAUAAAAAUAUUUUCAAAAACAAUUGUAAUUAUAUUUUUAUAAGCCCCAUAUAUUCACCUAGCUAUAUGUUGUUUGAGAGUGGGUACAAAUAAAGAUUUGUUAAAAAUUAAUUUUUUAUUUUAUUUAAAAUUAAUUUUUUAUUUUUAGAUUAUUUCAAUAAGUUAAUAUCAAAAUAAAUUUUAAAUAAUAAUAAAAUAUUAUUUUAAAGUAUUUUUACAUACCUUGUACUAGAUUCACAGUAUCAAGAGAAGAAGGGUUGCUAGUUGCUACCGGAGAAGUUAGUUUCAUUGAUUGAUGGAAUGUUAUACUUUAGAAAUCAAAUAAUAUGGUGUCACGAGAAUUAAGCAAAUAGAAAAGCAUUAAAUUUAUGGAAAUCCUUUCCUGUUCUGCGAGGGGAAGGAGUUAGUGGUCUUGAUGUAGUUGUUGGCUUUGCUAACUUUUCCUGUUUUCUAUUAAAGUGUGGUUGUAGUUAUUUUUAAAAAUAUUUUUUUGUGUUGAAAUAUAUCAAAAUAAUAUAUUUUUUAUUUUUUAAAAAUUAUUUUUAAAAUUAGCGCAUCAAAACGAUACAAAACACAUAAAAAAAUUAAUUUUUAAUAAAAAAAUAGAAAUUUCUAGAAACACAAUUUAUUCGCGUUCCGAAACGGUGCCAUAACGGUUGCUUGGAUUGGAAAUUCUUGUUUCUUUUACGGUGGAGUUACAAUGGUUUCAUUGUAUAAUGUUCGUUAAGUCACAAUCAGCCCAGUUUUUGUAUUUAAUCAGCAUUACAAUUACAGGAAUAUUUGCUCCAGAGGUGAAGCUGGUUCUUCAUCCAGCCAAAUAGAAACAAAGAGAGCGGCACAAUGGCAUCAUGCAUAGCAUUUUCCUUUAGGAAUGACAAAACCCUCAUAUCAAGUGAUUGAGCUAUGAGAACAACCAUCAACCAUGGAUUCCCAAGUUUCAAAUGGAUUCACAAAAACACACAGAGCUGUUUAUUUAUUUUUCGUAUCCAAAUACAGGACAUGAAAACCCUUUCAGCCUCACACUUCUUAGAUACAUAACGACAACAGGAGAGACAUCCCCACUAUAUUCACACACAUGCAACAAACAUCUUCCAUUGCAUACUUACUACAGCAGAAAGCCCAUAAAACCCGACACAAGCAGCGCUUGCCUGCUUAAGCUCUGCGGCACGCAUCUCCAUCGCAGUUCCAUCCUUCCUUUCCCUUUUCAGUUCCAGUAUCUUCAUCUUCCUUCAAAGCACACUUAGGGUGAAGAUCAAAGUCACAUUGUUUGCAAUGGAAAGACCACCUAUUUCCAGUUUCCCCACAGCCAUCGCAAAUAUAUGUUUUGCGUUUAGUACGUAUCAGCUCAUGCUCAGUAUGAAGUUCGUGUUUCACUUUCUCUGGCCACCCCUUUGCCUUUUCCUCAAGCUCCUCCUCCAAUUGCUUUAGAUGUUCCUCGGUAAAUGGAAAAGCAUCUGCCCCGUAAGCUGUCAAGUGCAUCCGAGCUUCCUUGGUAAUGGUCCGGCCACUUGGGCCAAUCGCUACAGCUGCAGGAAUGCCUUGAAUUUUGAAUUUCCGACUCAGGAUUUGUUUCCUUCCAUCACCAAAUGGAAGGGCUAACCAAGGCAUUUCUGAAUAGAACUCGUCAAAGGUGGUUUGAUCGCUGUCACUUGAGAUGAAGAUCACCUCAAAUGCAUUGUCUUUUGCUUUAAUUGCGUGGUAUGCUUCAAUUAGCUUGGGUAAAAAGGCACGACAAGGAGGGCACCAUUGAGCUGAGAAGUAAAGAAGAAUGUUCUUUCCAACUAGAUCGGACACUGGGACCUAAUCAAAGAGUAAACCAUUUGAAUGAUAAAAAAAACCUUUGCUAAUGAAUUCAAUUCGUGAUAAUAAGAAAGUUAUUGAAAGUAAUGCAAUAACAACAUG